UGGUCCUUGUGGUUUCACUAAAUUUUGUGUGAGCUUUCGGAGAAUAAAUGCAGUAGAUUCUCAUCCAUAUUGGGCAGCUGUAAAAAAGUACUAUAAAUGUCUGUGCACCGGCCCAGCCUGAAGUUUGUGCUUAGAAUGACUUAUGUAGAAAGAAGCUGAAGGAGCAAGUUUUUAUACCAUGAAGACAUACGUGAAGUAGUUUUACAGGUUAACCACGAAAUACCAGAGGCUUCCAGAAAGAAGCUGGAAAAGCUAAGAAAAUGGAUUCUUCCCCAGGUCCACAGUACCUCCCAGUGCUGCCACCCUGGAGAUAACACCUUUACCUGCAGACUUUUGGAUGCCACUCGUAGUCUAAACUAGCACCAAGCCCGUGUGAGCAGCCUUCGGAGAAGCCGCGCCCUAUGCUGCACGAUUCUUGUAAGCAUGAUGAACACAUAUAUGGAGAAGACGUAGAAAAUUUUGAGAGCCCACAAACUCCAGGAAAGUCAUCACCGUUGAUCAUCUGGGCCUUUUGUAUUUCCCUAUCUCUGUCUGUAAUCAGUGUGCUGACUCCUUAAUGGAUGGUAACGGGAUCUUGUUGUGUGGAUAUCUUAAACUUUCACAUUUUUGAUGGAUGAUUUUACUUAUUGCUGUUAUGUGAAAUAAUUGUAACAGUUUAUUAUAUUUUUAUCUUAUCAUUGGCCAUGCAGGCUAUAGGUAGACUCUAAAUCAAAACCAGAAAGAAACACAGGCCACAUUACUUGUAGUAUCAUUAGCAAUGCCCAGCUCCUUUUCACUGGUUUGUUAUUUUCUAAGAUUCAAAUAUCAUGGAUCAAUUUUUGCCAUUUUCUAGACAUAAGUGCAUGAGUAUCUACUGGCAAAUUUUCCCCUUGUCCUUCAAGAGUAGGGCCUGCAGGUGUUCCCUUUUCCGUUAUGUGUCAGUUAUUUGCCUAUGUUUGACUCUACUAUUCAUAAAAUAUCUACAGAAUGUUUAACCCAUAUUUUAAUGAGAAAUAAAUUUAUCAAAUAUUCUAUGUGGUGCCAUUCUUGUUGUCUUUAGCUUUAUAUUAUCUGGUCAAAUCACUGUUCUCCAAAAUUAUGUAGAGCACUCCUCCCCUCACUAUAUUUUGUGCACUUGUUUUAUUUGUUUC